GCUUAGGACUUUUUCAAAGCACAAACCACAGUUUUUAACAAAACUUUAUUCACUCAAUUAUUUUCUUGAUCUUAAAUUAAACAGGAUUGAAUUGCGAAAAUGGGUUACAUUUAACGAAUUAUAUGUAAAUAUGGUAUUUUUGGGGGUGUACAUAUGUAAAUAUGGCAUUCAACCUACUAAGAAUGCCGGAAAAAGGCAAAUAUGUAUGUUUGGAUAAAAGCGUUAUAUAUGCAUAUGUACUAAUUGAAAGUACAUUUGCACUUUAUACAUCAUUCAUAAAUUAUAGAACCUAGUACUUGUGCGUUUUAGCUGAUGUAUGGGUAAAUUAUUUACAAACCUACAUUGAUAGGUCAAUGGUUGAACGAGUCAUGUAAAUGCGAAUAAUUUAAGUUUGAUUGUCACUAAUGACAAAAACUGGACUUACCGAUUCACAUAAUUUGUGUGUCAUUAUUUGUAUUUCACGGGAGUAAUUCCAUCUUUAAAAUCAAUGGGAUG